GGGAGAUGUUGUGGCUCAGUGGAAGAGCCUCUGCUUAGCAGGCAAAAGGUCCCAGGGUUCAAUCCCCGGAAUCUCCCG
rnacentral:tRNA from 1 species